rnacentral:rRNA from 1 species
AGCGAAUGCUGGCGGCAGGCCUAACACAUGCAAGUCGAAUGAAGUCUUCGGACUUAGUGGCGGACGGGUGAGUAACACGUGGGAACGUGCCUUUAGGUUCGGAAUAACUCAGGGAAACUUGUGCUCAUACCGACUGUGCCCUUCGGGGGCAAGAUUUAUCGCCUUUAGAGCGGCCCGCGUCUGAUUAGCUAGUUGGUGAGGUAAAGGCUCACCAAGGCUACGAUCAGUAGCUGGUCUGAGAGGAUGACCAGCCACAUUGGGACUGAGACACGGCCCAAACUCCUACGGGAGGCAGCAGUGGGGAAUCUUGCGCAAUGGGCGAAAGCCUGACGUAGCCAUGCCGCGUGGAUGAUGAAGGUCUUAGGAUUGUAAAAUCCUUUCACCGGUGAAGAUAAUGACUGUAGCCGGAGAAGAAGCCCCGGCUAACUUCGUGCCAGCAGCCGCAGUAACAC